CGCCGCCACCGCCGCCGCCAACACCGCCGCGGGCGGGAGCCGGGGAGGAGGAGGCGGCCGCGGCGCGUUCCCGCCCCCGGGCCCGCGCUCCUGCGACCGGGCUCCGGGGCCGAGAGCCGUCCGGGAGGCCCGAAACGCCCCCCACCGGGGGAACUUCCCCGCCGACUUCUGGGGCUCUCGGGACGCGGUGCCGCCCCAGAGGCGUCCUCGGCCCGCGAGUUCUGCUGGGAGCGGGGAGGCCCCGGCGUCUCAGGUGAGUCCCCGGUUCCCUAGACCGGCCGGACACCCGAAGGCCGCACUCACCUGGCGGGGGCCUCAGACGCCUGGCGGCCUCGCCCGCCUCCCUAGACGGAGGGCUCGCCCGUGUGCGGGGUCCCAGGGAGAAGAAGCUGCGGGGAAGACAGUGGGUCGCCCGGGACCAAGCCUGGCUGAAGGGACACAUUGAGCGGGGCAAAGGCAUGUGGCGCAUCAGCCGGGCUCACGAGCGUGUACCCGAGAAACCACCGCACGGAGCCCAUGGCGGAGGCCGCGGCCCAUGCUGGGAGGCAGGCCGUGCAGGUGAACCCCCAGGCCGCGCAGGUGAACCCCCAGGCCGCGCAGGUGAACCCCCAGGCCGUGCAGGUGAACCCCCAGGCCGUCCGCUUAGCCUCGCUGCGAUCUUGGGCAAAUGACUGUGGUGGCUGAGGGCAGGCGCCCCACCUGCAAAAUGCGGGGAACAGUGGCAUCUACCCCGUCGGGCUGAUUUGAGGAUGAGGUCAGCUUUUGCUGUACAAUAAGCUGUCCGUAAACGUUCGUUUUUAUGAGCCCAGGGCCUGCCGUGUGGUAGGUGUUCACUAGACGAUGUACACUCUUAAAAGCACCCACUGAGCUGGGACCAGCAGUAGAAAGUCAGCUGAAUCAUCCUCACCCCUGCUUCCUGGAGCAGCCUGGUAUCCAGUGGAUAAUGAUUUGAAGCACCCUGGAGAUGGAUGGAAAUGUUCACACCAUAAUCAAGGAAUUAUGAAGGGUAAGGAUCGCUGCUGGAUCUCUUCUGUCAUCCCUCCCAGGACCCAUUGGUCCUACUGGCCCACUUCCAGAAAGCAAGCCAUCAACCUGCUUAAUAUAGGAAGUAAAACAAAAAGGUCGAGAAGGCCUUGAGGUGGGAAGGAAGCUGCUUCUCUGAUGGUCAGUUCCAGGAGCGGUCUCUUGUUGAGCGUGCAGGAUUCACUUGGAGUCUGUGGCUUGGCAGCUGGAGGUGAGAGGCUGGGGCGAGAGGGGAUGGGCUGAGGACAGGAUCUGCAUAGAUGGUUUCCGAGGUCCUUUCCAGCCUCGCUCUCAGGAGCCCUUUGGUUUUGUAACCCACGUGAUUCAUCAUUUCUUCAGGUGUGAGUCACCCCUAAUGGAGGUGGGAGAACAGGAGGCGUGGUGGGAGGCCCCAUCCCAACAGGCCACAUCCAUGUUCACAAGGGCUCCUGCCAAGGGCCCAUCUUGGAACCUGGAGAUCAACGUCCCACAUGGCCUUCGCUUUGCUACACUAGAUGUAACUUCACCUCCCUGCGUUCCCCUGGCAAGUGGGGUCAGCUGCUUGGGCCGUCACUCCAGGCCUGCCCACACUGCAGAAGACAGCCACCGUGUGUCCCUCCUACAGAUGGACUGGAUGCUCACCAGCCCCUGCCAGUGGAGAGACAUGAGGCCCUCAUGCAAACUGGCAGCCCUAGAGGAGAACCGGCCAUACUUGUUGGACAGAAACAGUACCCAGAACUCUCAGUCUGCCUCUGCCUGACAUGGCCCUGGCUGCCUAGCCAACUGGCUUGCAGAAGAGGGACAUUGGCCUGAGUCAAGGGGACGGGGUUGGAGGCAUUGCAUUGUCACCUAGCAGCAGUAUGUCUGGGCAGCAUGUGUUACCUCUCUUCCCCUUCCCCUGCUGGCCGGAUGUCCCUCAGAUUCAUCCUGGAUCUGGUGCCGUUCUUCAAAUAUGUGGCCUGCUUCAAGAUAAUGUAACUGCACAUCAGCUAAAUGAUUAUAAAGCAGCUGGUGCCUCCCAAGACGGAGCCCCCGCAACGGCAGUGAUUUUGACAGGCAGAGAUAAGGGUGUUUCCAUAAUAAUGUGGUAGAUUAAGGGAUUCAGCCUGCUGUACUGAGGGGAGACUAAAAUGCAUCUGAAUUUUUAUUUGGAGAGAUCUGAAUGUAUUUUACUAACAAGUCUGGUCCUUUUGGGCUGAACUUUCCAUUUGUCAUGGAAGUGCCCGGCAAUAUCUUGACUCCGAUGUUGUAGGAAGACCAGCUUCCCAAAAUGAACAUCCUGAAUCGAAUCGCCUCCUGUGGGUUUCCUAUUGAUUCACACGGUGACGGGAUUAGCUCAGUCACGGGAGUACCAGCCCUUUUCAUUGUGAUAGGAUCUGUAAUAAAACUUGGCUAGUCGUCCUGCAGGGAGGGGAUUUAUUACUCAGGCUCUGGCUCUCCACAUGGCCCCCGAGGUCCACACAGCUCUGUGGGGAGGGAGGGGGUGCUGCUUUCCUAGAUUGAGGUCUUCGAGCCUCAGGAGGGACAGGACAUGGACCAGAAAGGUGAUUGGAGCCUGGUCAUAUUUCGGAAGUUUUGUGAUAUUUAUACUGACAUCUUCUAAAAUCAGAAAAGAGGAGAAGACAUUGAAUGAUGUGUUCUCAUGCCCACCACUGAUCCCUUUACAGCAAGCAUGGGAUUAUCCGGCCAGAGUCCGGGAAUACCCACGCAGCCAAGACCACAGGACAGCAAGAGCCUUUGCACAGCCUUCUAGGAUGUGAUAAGACAUACUUUGAUGCAGAAAUUGCCUCUGUGUAGGGAAUAGACACUUUAUUGAACAAUUACAUUUUUGGCAAUAUGCUAGGUUCAGCAGGCCAGACUAGCAUCCCUUGAAAAAUAGCUGAUGGACACCACCUUCAGGAUACCGGAGAUGAGCGUGGACUCAAAGCCCAGCUUUGUCAUUUACUCAUGUGCAGCCUCAGUAAAGUUGCUUCAGUUUGCCCUACUGAAAAUAAUAGUAACGCUGCUGUCCCCAUACAGAGGGGCUAUGAGGAUGACAGGAGCUGAUGUGAGCAGAGCCUGGCACCCAGAGCCUGGCAUGAAGUCAGCACUCCAUAAAUAGUGGCAACAGUGACCACUGCUGACCAGGCGCUCUCCAGUGGGAUAGAGUAGUUAGGGCUGAAUACUCUGACCUUCUCUGGAUAAGGGCUCACUGUCCUCAUCUAUGCCUGGGUGCACAUUUUCUCACAUCUUAACAUCCCCAAAUCAAGAAACAUCUCACAGUUGGUGUUUUGCAAUCAUCACUGGCCUGGACUGAAAUUGAGUUCUUCCAGAGAGGGUUUGUUUUUGCUUCUGCCAGUGAUCUGGGGACACAGCUCCUGAAACUCCUUGGGGAUCUGCUGAAUGGUGUGACCCCAGUGUGAGAACCAGCUUAUGGUUCUAAUGAUCAGUGCAGGGCAUCUCCCUAUUUCUCCCUCCCCUCGCCAGGGCCAAGAUAGAAACCUGAUGAUUCCUUGCUGUUCCUCUCCAUGGUGGGUUUAUUUCUCAUUUUCCCCUGUACUGACAGUAGAGUCUUUAUUUUCCCUCCCCUCCCCUCUCUCUCCUCUCCUCCUCCUCCUUCUCUCUCUUCCUUCCCUCCUUUCUUUCUCUUUCUUUCUUUCUCUUUCUCCUUUCCCUUCCCUUCCCUUCCCUUCUUUUCUCUUUCUUUUUCUUUUUCUUCUUCUUUCCUGAGAUGGAGUUUCACUCUUGUCACCCAGGCUGGAGUGCAAUGGUGCAAUCUCGGCUCACUGCAACCUCUGGCGUCCGGGUUCAAGUGAUUCUCUUGUCUCAACCUCCCGAGUAGCUGGGAUUACAGGUGCAAGCCACCAUGCCUGGCUAAUUUUUGUAUUUUUAGUAGAGAUGGGGUUUCACCAUGAUAGCCAGGCUGGUCUCGAACUCCUGACCUCAGGUGAUCCACCUGCCUCAGCCUCCCAAAGUGCUGAGAUUACAGGCGUGAGCCACCAGGCCCAGCCAACAGUAGAGCCUUUCAUUGUUCCAUCUUUAGAGAGGCAUCUCCUGUGAGCCUUUCAUUGUUCCAUCUUUAGAGAGGCAUCUCCUGUGAGACUUUCCAUCUUGGAUGUUUUUUUUUUCUUAGUAAUAUGUUAAAUAAUGACACAUCUUCCAAUUGAGGGUGUAUCUUAGAUUUGAUGACAUAUGAUAUUAAUGCCUUCAAGACAUAUUGCAGUAAAGAAACUUGUUGAAUUCUUCCAAA